rnacentral:rRNA from 1 species
AUUGAACGCUGGCGGCAUGCUUUACACAUGCAAGUCGGACGGCAGCACAGAGAAGCUUGCUUCUUGGGUGGCGAGUGGCGAACGGGUGAGUAAUAUAUCGGAACGUACCGAGUAAUGGGGGAUAACUAAUCGAAAGAUUAGCUAAUACCGCAUAUUCUCUGAGGAGGAAAGCAGGGGACCUUCGGGCCUUGCGUUAUUCUAGCGGCCGAUCUCUGAUUAGCUAGUUGGUGGGGUAAAGGCCUACCAAGGCGACGAUCAGUAGCGGGUCUGAGAGGAUGAUCCGCCACACUGGAACUGAGACACGGCCCAGACUCCUACGGGAGGCAGCAGUGGGGAAUUUUGGACAAUGGGCGCAAGCCUGAUCCAGCCAUGCCGCGUGUCUGAAGAAGGCCUUCGGGUUGUAAAGGACUUUUGUCAGGGAAGAAAAGGCUGUUGCUAAUAUCAAUAGCUGAUGACGGUACCUGAAGAAUAAGCACCGGCUAACUACGUG